rnacentral:tRNA from 1 species
GUUUUAAUAGUUUAAUAGUUAAACGUUGGUCUUGUAAAUCAAAAAUAAGAAUUUUCUUUUAAAACU